CUUAGAUGAAAAAUCAAAAAGUGAAAUUACAUCGAACCAAAAGAUAACAAAAAUGAAGGUAUCCAGAAAACCCAUGCGAUCUUCAAUAUGUUGUUGGAACAUGCACCGAAUCUCACACUCGUUACUACUACGACGUGAAUGACAAAGUCUGCAAGAAGUUCACAUAUGGAGGUUGUGAAGGCAACAAGAACAACUUCGAAUCUAAGAAGGAAUGCGAGAAGAGAUGCAAAAAAGUCUGAAGAAAGAAGGCCUUUUUAUCCUUUUUGGAAAGGCUCGUUUUGGAUUUGCUGAUAACUACAAAAUGAAAUGAUGAUCUCAAAGUACCAUGACCAAAUUUUUUUUGGGAAAUAGAUUUUUUUUUAAGAAAGA